CCAAAGCAACCUUAAAGACCUUUUCAACCGGAAGCAUUACAGUUACUGCGCCUUGCGUAGGUAACGUCCAAUCGGCCAUCGAACACAUAUACCCCUUGGUGUUUGAAUUUC